CAAUCUUCAGACUGCAAUAACAGUGGCCAGAAAAUCUGGAAUGGUUUCUGAAAGCCAGAAAGUCAUUCUCAUUGAGGCAAAUGAAACCACCGGGUCCUCAUCAGCAUCUAUAUCUUGGACGUUAGUAGAAGAGAAGAAACACAUUAUGUAUGGGAAUCAGGACAAUUACAUUAACAUCAGGGAUGAAGUCUCUGAUAAAGGCAGAGAAGGAAGUUACCAUUUUGCCCUAACUGGAAAAUCCUUUCAUGUUAUAAGUCAACAUUUCAGCAGCCUACUGCCAAAGAUAUUGAUCAAUGGGACCAUCUUUGCAAGAAUGUCUCCUGGGCAGAAGUCCAGUCUGGUGGAAGAAUUUCAGAAACUGGAGUAGGUUCUUUGCCAGUGCAGGUGGCAUGAACUGCAUGGAGGCAUAACAGUCAGGGGGAGUGGAAGAGUUACUUUGUAGGUAUGUGUGGUGAUGGAGCCAAUGACUGUGGGGCUCUGAAAAUGGCUCAUGUGGGCAUCUCAUUAUCAGAGCAGGAGGCAUCUGUGGCCUCACCUUUCACUUCCAAAACUCCAAACAUUGAGU
rnacentral:lncRNA from 1 species